rnacentral:rRNA from 1 species
GAUGAACGCUAGCGGCAGGCCUAAUACAUGCAAGUCGAACGGUAAAUAUUUAGCAAUAGAUAUGAGAGUGACGUACGGGUGCGUAACACGUAUGCAACCUACCCUUUACAGGCGGAUAGCUCGGGGAAACUCGAAUUAACCCGCCGUAAUAUAAUUGAAUGGCAUCAUUUGAUUAUUAAAUCUACGGAGGUAAAGGAUGGGCAUGCGUCUGAUUAGUUAGUUGGCGGGUAACGGCCCACCAAGACGAUGAUCAGUAGGGGAACUGAGAGGUUGAUCCCCCCACACUGGCACUGAGAUACGGGCCAGACUCCUACGGGAGGCAGCAGUAGGGAAUAUUGGUCAAUGGAUGGAAGUCUGAACCAGCCAUGCCGCGUGCAGGAAGAAGGCCUUCUGGGUUGUAAACUGCUUUUGCCAGGGGAUAAAAUGACCUUGCGAGGUUAAUGAAGGUACCUGGUGAAUAAGCCACGGCUAACUACGUGCCAGCAGCCGCGGUAAU